rnacentral:misc_RNA from 1 species
CAGCUUUGCAAAUUCGGUGGUGUUCUGGGAUGAGGUUCAAGAUGGCCUUUGAAACUGAAGAUUCUUCCAGGAUUAGUUGGUUCAUGGGGACUAUUUCUUCUGCUCAAGUUGCUGAUCCUCUUCGUUGGCCGGAUUCACCAUGGAGGCUCCUCCAGGUUACAUGGGAUGAACCUGAUUUGCUUCAAAAUGUGAAACGUGUUAGCCCAUGGCUAGUGGAAUUGGUAUCAAACAUGCCCGCCAUCCAUCUAUCCCCUUUCUCACCACCAAGGAAGAAGUUGAGAUUCCCACAACACCCUGAUUUUCCCCUUGAUGGUCAAUUUCCAAUUCCGUCGUUUUCCGGCAACCUCCUUGGGCCCAGCAACCCCUUUAGUUGUCUACCGGACAGCAGUCCUGCUGGCAUGCAGGGAGCCAGGCAUGCUCAUUAUGGUCUACCUUUAUCAGAUCUCCACCUCAGUAAACUGCAGACUGGUCUACUUCCGGCUGGUUUCCCGCCACUACUUGAUCAUGCUGCUACUCAUACUAGAAUCUCAAAUAGUCCUAUCAUUCAAAAGCCUAGCAUGAGUGAGAAUGUAUCUUGUGUGCUAACCAUGGCGCAUUCUACCCAGAUUUCAAAGAAAACUGAUGAUGUGAAGACACCCCAACUUGUACUGUUUGGUCAACCUAUACUCACUGAGCAGCAAAUCUCUCUUAGUUGCUCUGGUGAUACAUUGUCACCAGUUCAUACUGGAAAUAGUUCAUCUAAAGGAAAUUUAGAUAAAAUGACAAAUUUUUCUGAUUGCUCUGGAUCUGCUCUUCAUCAGCAAAGCCUGUCGGAGCGGUCAUCAUGUGAGGGUUUCCAAUGGCACAAGAAUAACCCCCAAGAAAAUGAGCCCUCCUUGGAGAUUGGUCACUGCAAAGUCUUCAUGGAAUUAGAGGAUGUGGGUCGGACUCUCGACCUUUCAUUGCUCAGCUCUUAUGAAGAGCUAAACAAAAAACUAGCGGACAUGUUUAAGAUAGAAAAUUCGGAGACACUAAACAAUGUGCUUUACCGUGAUGUUACAGGCGCCGUCAAACACAUUGGGUGUGAACCAUUCAGUGACUUCAUGAAAACAGCAAGGAGACUGACAAUUCUAAUGGAUUCAAGCAGUGACAAUGUAGGAUUGUAGAGGAAGAAAUAAACUUUGUUUGCUUUUAAACUGUACAGCUGGCUGAUCAAAUCCUUCUUCGUCGUUCCUGAGCUGACUUUUUAUCCUUCUUCAACCUGUGGGAGGAGCUGCUCUGAUCCAAUUUUUAGACUUUUCAGCUAAAAUUUGUAGAUUCUCGUUUCUCCUUAGUUUUAAAAGAAU